CUUUUACUGAAUCGUGACUGAGCAGUGGAUAAUUUUGAAAAAGACUUCACUUCACCUGGUUUUCAAGCACCUGGAUUUUACAAGAAGGAAACAACACCUGAGACCACCUAUUGAUCCUAGAUCUCUGAUGAAAAAUGGCUUCUGGCAGAUCCCGUCCGGUGGAGUGCCCCCUGACCCAGGUCAGGCGGUGGCACAGCAGUGUCACAAGUGAGACAGCUUCGAAAUUUCAUAUUAAAAUUCUCGUUUUACUCGUUAAAUGAUUUUUAGGAAAAGUUAUCGUCUAUCAAGUAGGAUUUAAGUGUUAAGGUCAACAGUUAAUAGAAGUUUAAUUAACCAGUUGUGAGAAUGGAGUUAUGGAUUUCACUUGAUGAUAUCUUCUUGACCAAAGGCCAUGUUUUAAUGUCAGAAAUGUUCAAAUUUGCAUGCAGAAAACAGUCAAUUUUAUUGACUGAGAUGUGCUGAGGUGAAAAACCUUUUAUUUGUUCAUGUAGGUAUGGUGUAAAGACUUCAACUUUCAAAGGUUACUGUCGAAAUUAAAUUAUUAAAGACGGCGCCUGGGCCACUUUUUUCGAAUGUUUACAAAACUUGAUUCUGUUUGUAACUUGGAGAUGUUGGAACUGUGAUAAGCGAGCCUCAAGUAGGUGGAAUGCGCAUGCAUGCCUUGCCAUUCAUGCCUUGGCUGUGAUAGUUAUGUUAUUUAAUGGUAUGAAGUCUGUUUAAAUAAUUAAUAGAUAUGUAUUAAAGUGUUGAGACUGAAUUGUAAUGCAGCCAUUGUGCGCAUUCCUCUCCUUCAUGCCUGUUUUUUAACUGAUAGAUUAGAAGUUUAAAGAAGAAAAGCUCUGUUUCCAAGAAGCAGACAUCUUUAUUAAGCUGCCCUAUGAACCUGGUUUAAAUAUAAUAAAUGCACACGAUUUUGAUAAAUUCCCAUAUUUUGCCGUUGAGACAGUGUUUAAUUGUGUGUUUGUUCGAUGUAUUUUGCCAUGGCUGUUAAACUUAAUUCAUAUAAUUAUAAUUUUAAAAUAAUGAAAAGUGUGUUUUUCGGAGAUUUACUGGUUCAUAGUGUGUUUUGAUGUCAAGUGAGGAGAUGAGAUCUGGAUUGGUGGAGCAGCCACUGUGUGCAUCUCCUCAACUCUUGCUCUUAUUAAUUAGAUGCACUAAAAAACAGGAUAUGAAAGAGAUCUGUGAUAGAUGCAAAAAGCAGGUGUGAUGAUUAGCAUGGGCUGUUUAAGUGAAUCUUGCAUGGUACAGUUCUGGUCAGAAUUAUGGGCAUGUGGAUCUGGAUUGAAACAGAAGACCGACAUUCUGUACAGUGAUCUGAAACUGUCGAUCCUGGCCUCCAUGGUUCACAAAUGGUGCUGCUGAUAUGCAGUCAGAGUCCAAAGUCUAAAAUCAGUGAUGCUGUCCUGAGGUUUCUAUUCCCUGCAGCAGAGCUGCUGUUUGCUGUCUGCUUUUAUUCUAAGUGUAAUAACUGUUGUCUUAACUACAGAUAUUGUAGAGUCUUUCCACUGAGACUAUACACCUGAGUUCUAAUAGGUGAAGAGUUACGACUCGUUCUGACAUGUGAUGUGACAAUAAAAACCAAGAUUCCAAUAUUCUUUCUUUGAGUACGGUGACCCAUUUCUUUCCAUUAAAACAAAGAAAGUUCACCUGCUGCCAUCCUGACAUGGUCAAAAAUCUGUAUAGCUCCACUCUUCACACCUGACUCACUACCUGGGCUUACUUAAAUACCCUUUUACGGUGCAAAGAACCAAGGAAUAGAAACAAGAAAUGAAACUAACAAAAGAAACUAAAUAAUGGCUCCAACAGUUAUUAUCGCUCAUAUGUGGUCAUUGUACUCCAACAGCAGAAUACCAUUCAUAAUUCUCUUAUGGAUGCACAGAUUUUGACAGUAUGAUACUUUUCUUCCCUCAAGUGGUGCCCCUCUUCCUCCUGCUGAUCGUCCUGACUGCCCUCCUUCACCUCCCACUGC
rnacentral:lncRNA from 1 species